rnacentral:snRNA from 1 species
AUCUUUGCGCAGUGGCAGUAUCGUAGCCUAUGAGGUUUAUCCGAGGCGCGAUUAUUGCUAGNUAGUGACUCCUGUGGCGGGCC